AAAAUGGAGAGUUUGAUCCUGGCUCAGGAUGAAUGCUGGCGGCGUGCCUAAUACCUGCAAGUCGAGCGGUAACAGGGCUUCACCGUUUCCUUGACACACCUAGCGCAUUUAUCGUAGGUUGGUUAGAUUCGAGGGAACAGUGAAGCUGCUGACGAGCGGCGGACGGCUGAGUAACGCGUGGGAAUGGACCCCAAACUGAGGGAUAACUAGUCGAAAGAUUAGCUAAUACCGCA
rnacentral:rRNA from 1 species